rnacentral:rRNA from 1 species
AGCGAACGUUAGCGGCGGGCUUAACACAUGCAAGUCGAGCGAGAGAGUGACUUCGGUCAUGAGUAAAGCGGCAGACGGGUGAGGAACACGUAGGUAAUUUUCCGUUUAGUGGGGGACAACGGUCCGAAAGGACCGCUAAUACCGCAUACGUUUCUUGGGACUUUGGUCUUGGGAAGGAAAGCUGGGCAACUGGCGCUAAAUGAGAAGCCUGCGUCGCAUCAGCUAGUUGGUGGGGUAAUGGCCUACCAAGGCGAAGACGCGUAGCUGGUCUGAGAGGAUGAUCAGCCACACUGGAACUGAGACACGGUCCAGACUCCUACGGGAGGCAGCAGUGGGGAAUAUUGGACAAUGGGCGCAAGCCUGAUCCAGCCACGCCGCGUGAGUGAUGAAGGCCUCGGUCGU